rnacentral:sRNA from 1 species
UUAUUUUGUCUGAACAUUUCGUCAUUUUAAAAUAUAUGCUGCAUACAUAAUGUAUAAUCCAAUACAACUAUAAAUCAGGGGAAGGGGUGGUUACUUUAGACAAAGAUAAUAAAGACACAAGGACAGAUUCUUUAGCAAUUCUAUGUCUAAGUAGAACGAGUGUCAAUAGUGGAAAGCUGGUAUCACAGCACUUUAUAAGAAUGCUAGUUAAAACUGCAGUUCAGGGAAUAUAUUAACUUGAUUACCUAAUAAAGAACGCUAGAUAAAACAGCAGUUCAGAGAAUGUACAUUAAUUUGAUGUUUAUACUUUUUAAUUUUGUGUUUAAUAAUGCAAAUGAAUGUCUAAAAUUAUCAUUCGAAAAAGGUAUCGUGAACAUUUCGGUAUAAGGGAAUAGAAUGCUGUAGGUGACAUGAUGCAGGUUGGUGUAUGAGCGAAGCUGUUCCCCAGAAUUGCCAGAAACAAUGUAUUUUGGUGUAUCACAGAAGUUGUUCCAGAGGCUGCCAGAUCAAUCCAAAAGAAAAUAGACGAACAUGCUAGAUAGAAAAUGUCUAAAUCUACAGAAGAGUUUCUUAGUUUGCUGGUUAGUUUAAAAAAAAAUGAAAGAGUUAGUCAUUCCAGGUCUACUAUCAAACUCAAUAAAAUACAUUUUGAAGUUUACAAAGCGUCAGAAAGACAAUUUUUUUUUCUAUUGGGAAGCAAAGCAAACAAAAAAAAAACAGAAAAACAUUUAAAGCAGCGCAAUUCGCAAGUGUCUUAACAGACAAGACAAUAGGUAGACUACAUCGCUACAUUGGUAGACCAUGAUAGAUUACAAUAGUGCUGGUCUUUUUGUACACUGUUUAAAGAUCAGAAACUGAUGAUAGUGAUGACAAUGGACAAACACGCAGUGGUCUAAGUGUUGAAAAAGUUCAACGAA